GGACAGAAAGACCCUAUGAAGCUUUACUGUAACUUGAAAUUGGUUUCGGGCUUUAUUUGCGCAGUAUAGGUGGGAGGCUAAGAUAACAAGUUUGCGGAUUUGUUGGAGCCAUUAGUGAGAUACCACUCUAAUAAAGCUAGAAUUCUAACCUUGUUAGCCGUUAUCCGGCCAAGGAACAGUUUCAGGCGGGCAGUUUGACUGGGGCGGUCGCCUCCUAAAAAGUAACGGAGGCGUGCAAAGGUUCCUUCAGGCUGGUUGGAAAUCAGUCGUAGAGUGUAAAGACAUAAGGGAGCUUGACUGUAAGACCUACAAGUCGAACAGAGACGAAAGUCGGCCUUAGUGAUCCGACAGUUCCGAGUGGAAGGGCUGUCGCUCAACGGAUAAAAGUUACUCUAGGGAUAACAGGCUGA
rnacentral:rRNA from 1 species